rnacentral:rRNA from 1 species
UUUAACGGCCGCGGUAUAUUGACCGUGCAAAGGUAGCAUAAUCAUUAGUCUUUUAAUAGAGGGCUGGAAUGAAGGGUUUAACGAAGUACUUACUGUCUCAUUUAAUUUGGUGUUAAAAUUUACUUUUUCAGUCAAAAAGCUGAAAUAUUAUUGGAAGACGAGAAGACCCUAUAGAGCUUUAUAUUUAAUUAUUUAAUAAAUUUUUGAUAUAAUUAUUAUUUAUUAUUUAAUAAAAUAUUUUGUUGGGGUGACAAAAAUAUAUAAUUAACUUUUUUAUUUAUAUAACAUUGAUAUAUGAGAAAUAGAUCCAGUUUUACUGAUUAUUAGAAUAAGUUACCUUAGGGAUAACAGCGUAAUCUUCCUUUAGAGUUCAUAUUCACAGGGAGGCUUGCGACCUCGAUGUUGGAUUAAGAUUAUAAUUAGGUGUAGCCGCUUAAAAAAUAGGUCUGUUCGACCUUUAAAUUCUUACAUGAUCUGA